rnacentral:rRNA from 1 species
AUUGAACGCUGGCGGCAGGCCUAACACAUGCAAGUCGAGCGGGGUUUUCGGACCUAGCGGCGGACGGGUGAGUAAUGCGUAGGAAGCUACCCGAUAGAGGGGGAUACCGGUUGGAAACGACUGUUAAUACCGCAUAAUGUCUACGGACCAAAGUGUGGGACCUUCGGGCCACAUGCUAUCGGAUGCGCCUACGUGGGAUUAGCUAGUUGGUGGGGUAAUGGCUCACCAAGGCGACGAUCCCUAGCUGGUUUGAGAGGAUGAUCAGCCACACUGGAACUGAGACACGGUCCAGACUCCUACGGGAGGCAGCAGUGGGGGAAUAUUGGACAAUGGGCGCAAGCCUGAUCCAGCCAUGCCGCGUGUGUGAAGAAGGCCU